rnacentral:rRNA from 1 species
GUCUCUUCGGGGAUGAUUAAACCGGCGCACGGGUGAGUAACACGUGAGUGACCUGCCUUUUAGACUGGAACAACUUACCGAAAGGUGAGCUAAUGCCGGAUGAGUUAUAUAAGUGCAUGUUUAUAUAGGAAAAGUUGGGGAGACCUGACGCUGAAAGAUGGACUCGCGUCCCAUUAGCUAGUUGGUAGGGUAAUGGCCUACCAAGGCGACGAUGGGUAGCCGGCCUGAGAGGGUGGCCGGCCACACUGGGACUGAGACACGGCCCAGACUCCUACGGGAGGCAGCAGUGGGGAAUUUUGCGCAAUGCUCGUAAGAGUGACGCAGCGACGCCGCGUGAAUGACGAAGGCCUUCGGGUCGUAAAGUUCUUUCGACAGGGAAGAAAAUGCCUAUAAGUAACUGUGUAUGUAUUGACGGUACCUGUAUAAGCAGCCCCGGCUAACUCCGUGCCAGCAGCCGCGGUAAUACGGAGGGGGCGAGCGUUGUUCGGAGUGACUGGGCGUAAGGAGCACGUAGGCGGUGUUGUAAGUCAUUAGUCAAAGACUAGAGCUCAACUUUAGUAAGGCUAGUGAUACUAUAAUACUAGAGUAUCAGAGAGGAUUGCAGAAUUCCUGGUGUAGCGGUGAAAUGCGUAGAUAUCAGGAGGAAUACCGUUAGCGAAGGCGGCAAUCUGGCUGGAAACUGACGCUGAGGUGCGAAAGCGUGGGUAGCAAACAGGAUUAGAUACCCUGGUAGUCCACGCUGUAAACGAUGGAUGCUAGGUGUUGGGCUUUUAAGUUCAGUGCCGCA